rnacentral:rRNA from 1 species
UAGGGAAUCUUCGGCAAUGGGGGGAACCCUGACCGAGCAACGCCGCGUGAGGGAUGGAGGCCUUCGGGUUGUAAACCUCUUUCAGUAAGGGUGAAGGCUCUCUUUUGUGGAGGGUUGACAGUACUUGCAGAAGAAGCGCCGGCUAACUACGUGCCAGCAGCCGCGGUAAUACGUAGGGCGCGAGCGUUGUCCGGAAUUAUUGGGCGUAAAGGGCUUGUAGGUGGCGUGUCGCGUCUGCUGUGAAAUUCCAGGGCUUAACUUUGGGAUUGCAGUGGGUACGGGCAUGCUAGAGUGCAGUAGGGGAGAUUGGAAUUCCUGGUGUAGCGGUGAAAUGCGCAGAUAUCAGGAGGAACACCGGUGGCGAAGGCGGGUCUCUGGGCUGUUACUGACGCUGAGGAGCGAAAGCGUGGGGAGCGAACAGG